rnacentral:rRNA from 1 species
GACGAACGCUGGCGGCGUGCCUAAUACAUGCCAGUCGAACGAGAGCGACCGGUGCUUGCACUGGUCAAUCUAGUGGCGAACGGGUGAGUAACACGUGGGUAACCUGCCCAUCAGAGGGGGAUAACAUCCGGAAACGGAUGCUAAAACCGCAUAGGUCUUCGAGCCGCAUGGCUUGAAGAGGAAAAGAGGCGCAAGCUUCUGCUGAUGGAUGGACCCGCGGUGCAUUAGCUAGUUGGUGAGGUAACGGCUCACCAAGGCCGUGAUGCAUAGCCGGCCUGAGAGGGUGAUCGGCCACAUUGGGACUGAGACACGGCCCAAACUCCUACGGGAGGCAGCAGUAGGGAAUCUUCCGCAAUGGACGCAAGUCUGACGGAGCAACGCCGCGUGAGUGAAGAAGGUUUUCGGAUCGUAAAACUCUGUUGUUAGAGAAGAACAAGUGCUAGAGUAACUGUUAGCGCCUUGACGGUAUCUAACCAGAAAGCCACGGCUAACUACGUG